GACGUAGGGGGCAAGCGUUGUUCGGAAUUACUGGGCGUAAAGCGCACGUAGGCGGUCUUUUAAGUUGGGGGUGAAAUCCUGGAGCUCAACUCCAGAACUGCCUUCGAUACUGGAAGACUUGAGUCCGGGAGAGGUGAGUGGAACUGCGAGUGUAGAGGUGAAAUUCGUAGAUAUUCGCAAGAACACCAGUGGCGAAGGCGGCUCACUGGCCCGGUACUGACGCUGAGGUGCGAAAGCGUGGGGAGCAAACAGG
rnacentral:rRNA from 1 species